UCGCACAUACACACACAUACACACACACACAGGACCAGCCGCAACUGCCAUUGGCCUAGCGAUUGCUCAUUCAUACAAGCAAGAGCAAGCGAGAGAGAUCGUCUGCAGCGGCACAGAAAUCGUGCAUCUGCAGACGCGAUUCGCCACUGCCCCGCACCGGCACAUACGGACGAUCAUACGCAGAUACAAAGACGAUUAAUACCUUGCUUGGGGUGAUUGUUUUUUUUUUGUAUUGCUUUCUGCCAAAUAUAAUUAUUGCCCUUCUCUACGUUGUUUCGUAUUCGAGGGAGCUUGUUUUUUCGUCUUCUCUCUCUCUCCUCUCCCUCUUCCCCCGCUCCUGCGGCGCAGCGCGCGCUCUCGCUCUGCCUAUCCACGCGCGGGAACAGAUAGUCGUACUGCGAGGACUCUUUUCUCGUAGCUGUUCGCUCUGGCGGAACUUCUGGACCUAUUGCUGGGAGUGCAGACAAGAAAACUUCGAAGACACUACGCGCACUCGAUAAGCGCCAGCGCUUUUUUCCCCUUUAUUUUAGGACGACGCUGCCUUUGAUACGCAGUGCUCAAUGACGGAGGGUCCCAUUCGUACUGCGGAGGCUCGCGACCUCACGCGGGUGGAGCGCGUCGGCGCACAUUCCCACAUUCGCGGCCUCGGCCUCGAUGACACGCUCGAGGCGCGCGUUUCGAGUCAGGGCAUGGUGGGUCAAAUGGAGGCCCGGCGUGCGGCUGGCGUGGUGGUGCAGAUGGUGAAGAAGGGAAAGAUCGCCGGACGGUGUGUGUUGCUGGCUGGCGGGCCGGGCUCUGGUAAGACGGCUAUUGCGAUGGCCAUGGCGCAGGCGCUCGGGCCCGAGACACCCUUCACCAUGAUCGCUGGUAGUGAGAUCUUUUCUCUUGAGAUGUCCAAGACGGAGGCGCUGACGCAGGCGUUUCGUCGCAGCAUUGGCGUGCACAUCAAGGAGGAGACGGAGAUGAUCGAGGGCGAGGUGGUGGAGGUGACCAUUGAACGUCCGUCUACGAACCCCGCCGAGGCCCAUCAGCGCACCGGGCAACUGGUGCUCAAGACUUCCGACAUGGAGUCGACCUUCGACCUGGGGCAGAAGAUGAUCGAGAGCUUGCAGAAGGAAAAGGUUCAAGUAGGCGACGUUAUCACGAUUGACAAGGCCACCGGCCGCAUCAGCAAACUGGGCCGCAGUUUUGUACAUAGCAAGGACUUUGAUGCCAUGUCCGCCAACACGCGCUUCGUGCAGACGCCGGAGGGCGAGCUGUCGAAGCGCAAGGAGGUGGUGCACACCGUGACGUUGCACGAGGUGGACGUGAUCAACUCUCGCCAGCAGGGCUUCCUCGCUCUCUUUGCCGGUGACACCGGUGAGAUCAAGCCCGAAGUGCGCGAGCAGAUUGAUCAACGCGUCGCUGAAUGGCGGGAGGAGGGUAAGGGCGAGAUCGUUCCCGGUGUACUCUUUAUCGACGAGGUCCACAUGCUCGAUAUCGAGUGCUUUUCGUGGCUGAACCGCGCGCUGGAGAGCCCGUUGGCGCCGGUGGUGAUCGUCGCGUCGAAUCGUGGCAUUUCGCGUAUCCGCGGCACACAGUACAAGGCGCCACAUGGCAUCCCGAUCGACCUGCUGGAUCGAAUGAUGAUUAUCACCACGAACCCGUACUCGCAGGAGGAGCUCGGCAAGAUUAUUAACAUUCGGUGCGAGGAGGAGGAUGUGGAGCUGACAGAGGACGCAUUUGUCCUCCUGACGACACUCGGCCAGAAGACGUCGCUGCGCUACGUGCUGCAGCUCAUUACGACGGCGAACAUGGUGGCGCAGAAGCGGAAGUCGUCGACCGUGUCGGUGGACGACAUCAAGAAGGUGUACCUUCUCUUCAUCGACCUCCGCCGCAGCGUGGAGCUGCUGCAGGAGCACGAGAAGGACUUUCUUUUUGGCGAGGAGGACGCACACGUCGAGAACUCGACCCGCGUACGCGUAGGUGACGGUGAGGAAGAUUGCGGCAACGAGGAGGAGACGGUCCGGUAAAUCGCUUGCGUGUACGUGUAGUAGUGCUCAACUAGAACAAGGCGGCGACCGUAAAGGGGCUGCGGUGGAGUUAGAGGGCCUGAUCGAGAUGACACCGACGACACGCUUUUCGUUUCCGCGGCGCUGCUUGCUCUCCGCUCCGCUUGGAACGUCUCAAGUGUCCACAUGGCACGCGCGAGGGUUGCCCUCUCUCCCAACCUCUACCUAGUGCAUGAAAACCAUGUGACGGUGCACAUAUAUAUCUUGUUUGACUUGUCCUGCGUGUCUGUAACGACGCCACAUAACACAGCGCACGGCCCAAGCGCGGCAGAUGACUGGUAAGAGAGAGGGACGGCUAUGAUGGGCCUGAAUGCUUGUGGCUUCUUGGGUGUGUGUGCCAGG
rnacentral:misc_RNA from 1 species